CAGUGAGGGCCGGAAGUGAGGGUGGAGGGAGGAGUGGUUUCCGGCGCCGAUGCGCUGUGCGCUGUGUAAUGGUCGUGGAUGCGCUGCUGUAUCCUGGGCAAAGCCUGUGGAAUGCACAGCACUGAGAGCGAGCCUAAUGGGAACUGGGGCUCCGAGUGACGAGGGUCUGUGGGUUCAGGGUUCUUGGUUGUGACGCCCGAGCCAUUCUCCGCAGGAGCGAGACGGAGCGGAGGCCUGUGGAUACCUCGGUUCCCAAACAGGAGCUCUGAGCAAAAGUUUUUGUUUGUGAACUCUGCCCCAGGCGACGAACAGGACCACAGGAGCACGAACAUGUCCUCCUUUUCCAGAAUCCGAGGACGAGUCGGGUUGUGAGCUGAGGCAUACCACAGACCGGAUGGACGAGACUUGAAUCAAAUUCAGUGGCUAGGCUCAAUGUUGACCUUGCAGGGAAAUCUAACUUGCUUCUUGUCAAGUUCGGUUUGCGACCGAAUCGUGGAGGGAAUUGGGCACCUAAACUGAGGCGCUACUGCGUGCGAAUAUAGGGGUGCUGCAGGAACUGGGGAUCCACUUUCAAACACACAGUGAGCAAAGGUUUCCAGGCCUUUAAGGAGAGGAGGCCAGAAGACAAGGUGCAUGGAAUGCCAGACUCCCCCAAGCACCACACAUAGUCCUUUCUGGCCCUUGGAGAGUCCAUUCUCAAGACUGCAGACCAGACUCAGGAUAAAGAGGCUUAGCUGGGUCCACACUGUCCCUUUACCAGGGCAGAGGCUAAGAGGCACAGCCACCGCAGAUUUCAGGAAUGCAAACAAUCAGAAAUGAUGAAGAAGUCCAGGACCUCCGACCUUAAUGAUGUUUCCACAUUUUUAAGUGAAGCCGCCAAGUAACCCUCGAACUUCCUCCCCUUGAAGGGACUUGCUGCACCAAAGGGAAGGAAGAAAUUAGUCAGAAACCACAGAGCAAUUAAGGGCUAAAGGGAGCCCAAGUGAAGUAUUGCCUAGUAGGCAAGCCAUUGUACUGCAGUGCUGUCGUGUCGUCCAAAGAAGAAAACACACUGUGUUUUCUUUGUUGGCCAAAAUGUACUAAACCCAUUCCCAGUAUGCGUGUGCGUGUGUGUAUAGGAGAGAUAAUAUAACCUUUCCAUUUGCCCAUGUGGCACUGAUUUUUUUUUCUAGUGGAGGAAACACUGUAAAAUCUAGGAAUAUCUAACAAAAGAGGCUCAGUCUUACAACUAGGAAAGAAAACGCUACGUGAAUAUUUGUUAUCUGGAAAUGACUCCAUCUGCCUGAAUGAAGAUAGGAGGCCAGAGAGACCACUGUGAGCUCCAGCCCCUGGCUCUCCCUAGUGUCCCUGGAUGGAAUCUUCU
rnacentral:lncRNA from 1 species